rnacentral:sRNA from 1 species
AGCUCUGAGCUGCAGUGACUGUGUCGAUCUUGUGUCCGCACUAAAUUCGGUAUCGAUAUGGUGCUCCUGGGGGAGCCCGGGACCACCAGGUCGCCUAAGGAGGGGUGCACCAGCCCAGGCCGGACACGGAGCAGGCCAAGCCCCCGUGCCGCUCAGUAGUGGGAUCGCGCCUGAGAGCAGACCCUGCAGUGCAG